ensembl:lncRNA
CUUGGCAUCAGUCAGCAGGUGGUGAGCAAUUGCAUUAUGCCUCAUAAGUUUUGUAUAUUCUUUUAUGAUGAUGAUGAUGACUAUUAUUGUUUUACCUUCCUUUUCUGUUCUAUUAAACUGUCUUUAUCUCUACCCAUGAAUGAGUUUUACCUUUUUCUGAUUGUUUUCCCUAUCCCUGUGGGGGAAAGUGAGUGAGUGGCUGUAUGGUGCUGAGCUGCCUGCCAGAUUAAACCACAACUACCACCGAGGCUGUUGGCAUUUUAAAAAAGCUUUAGAGCUAGGAAGGAAUAAAAGAGUCUCAAAUAAGAUACUGCACACUUAAUUUAUUUAUGAUUGCUGCCAUGCACCUUCCUAAAGAAUAAUGGGACCUAUUCAUUUGUCUGUGUGACUAAGUGAUAAAGUGUGUCUGUGAUCUGCUGGUACAGACUUGUGCUUGUUACAGCUGGCCAAGAAUAGAGUUUUUUUCUGUGUUAAACAAGAUCAUUGGUAUCCAGGAAGAUUUCACUGGAAGUUUUUCAGCACUGCAGGGAUGGAGAGGUCCCUUGGAAGCUCUUCCUGCUGCUAUGUAAGGGAAGCUGCAGAAAGAUCUUUGCCAUGUCCUUUUGUAACUCCCAUAAUCUGUAAACUUGUGUGGUCAAAGUAUAGCUAACAUGCUAGAGAGGGCUUGUGAUCUUGUGACUGGACUAGUUGCAGUUUCACAGAAGAAAACUAGCUUUAUCUCCCUAAUCCUUUUGCUGGCAGGCAGGACAUGAAAAAUGAAGUUGAGACACUGUACCUAUUUAUUGCUUAAUUUUUUUCCCAUAAAUUCUAACCUUGUGGUUAAAAAACCCCCAAACAUUCAGUAAUUCUCAGAUGUAAACAAGGAGAAAAAUAAUACUCCAGAAAGCAAGAGCUUGUAAGUAUCCAAACCCUAAAUAUGUUAACACAGCUGUAUAUCAUGUGACCCAUCUCAGUUCUGACACAAAAAUAUGUAAAAUGUUUGAAAAUGUCCAUAGUAUUGUGAUUUUUUUAUGAUCUCCAAGUGGAACAAGAAUAAUACAACGGUUAAAAAUCCAAAUGGAAUGAAUGAACAGUUGUGCUGAAAUUACAUAAACUACCCUUUUUCUUUGGUAAUAUUUAAAAACUUCUACUAAAGCCCUGCCAUCAUAAUUCUGUGCAAGGUAGAGGCCCUGAACAAGAAGCAUUAUAUCUUGGUAUAGUAAAUAACCUGAUUACUCUUGCUUAUAACUCUGAUAUCUUGUCUGUCUUUACCUGGUAUAUUCUGAGUGUAGCUCAGUGAGUGAAUCUGUGAAUCUGGUCAACGGCUGAAGUCUUGUAUUGGCAGGUGUAAGCUCUGGCCCUGGCUGUAGCUGAUUACCUGCACUAGGCAAAGCAGAGGUGAGAGUACCAGUUGCACUCAAACAAUUUAGGAAUCCAAAUUCAUCCUCAAGAAGCUGAUCAGUAAAUCUUGAAUGCAUAAAGUGAAGAGAAAGGUUCACUGAAAUUCACAAAAAUAUGACAGAAGAAGAAAAGUGAUUAAAAACAUAUAAGUGGAAUUUAUUCAGUCGUAAAUGUUAUCUGUGUGCCAGGUCUUCUUUCAAAGCUAUAGGAUUUUUUUUUUCCCACAUAGUUAUUGUUUAGUAAUAAAUCUGAAAAGCUUCUACAAAUAUCUACUUGGCUCAAAGCAAUAGAUGUUAUGAAGGCUUCAACUAUAAUGACAAGUGCAGGAUGUUGUCAGUUGAUCUUGGACAAAAAAGAAAUUGAAGUGUCUUCAGUAACACUUUAAAUACAAUUUUAAUUCUAAGCAAUUUGAAAAUUAGUGUAGUUGCACUUCGUAAUUUCAAGAAAAAAUAAUACCAUUUUCACCUUUUCUUUUUCUUUUCUUCAUUUUUUUCUUUCUCAUCUCCACUACUUGCUCUCUAGGUUAAUUUUAUAUAUUUUUUUAAUCUUAAAAUGCAUUUAGAAAUAUAUCUACACUGAUUAAAUUAGGAUGUAUAUAUUUGGGGCAGGGACUGCCUUGAGUCAUCCAGUUGCUCAGCACAUGUGAGUGACUGAUAUUACCUGACAGUGUAACAAAGUACUUCUAUGUCACAUUAGAAAUCAUUACUUCUGAUAAGUAGAUUUACAAUAUGUUUUCCUACUGCUCUUACUGUCAUUAUGGCACCUCUGUAGAUGUACAAUACUUGCAAAAUGAAAGGGCCUUUCCUUCACAAACCUUUAUGAAUUCAGACACUUGAAACUAUAUUUCGGCUUGUCCUGCAGCAACUUUAUGCAUCUAAGUGGCAGUGUGCAGAAAAAGGCAUGCAAUCUGGAAGUGAAGGGGAAUGGCCUGAAGGCUGCUGUGAGAUUUUCUCCAGGACUCUUCUGUUAGUCAGACAGGCGGUCUCCACAGCAGAGGUCCACUGAAGCUUCACACAUAGAAUCUUUUUUAAGAGUGCAUACUGCUGUGAGUAUAUUUGUGAUAGUAUCUAAUAACUUGCAUCUAGAUGUUAGGUAUUGCUGUUUGAAGAAGUUUUCUGUUGCAAAGAAGUACAUCAUGUACUGACUAGGACAGUGAGAGAAAAAUAUGCAAAAAAAUGUCAAAAUAUGUCAAAAAAAAAAAAGUCAUUUCUGGCAUUAAGCAAAUUAUUUGGCACAAUUCAAUCCUUAUUACCAGAAAAUUUCAUCUAAGAGUGCUGCUGGUGAUAGGAAGGAGGCAAAACUCAGCAGGGUGUGUUACUCUUCUACCUCCUCUCUUGAUGAUUAAGUUGUUAAUUUGCAGUGGUGGAGACUAAGGUUUAAUUAUGUCCUCUACUCCAAAGAUCUAGAUCCUGCUAUCCUGUCUCUCAGAACAGUCAAUGAGCAAUUAGUGGCAUGAAGACUACCACAAUGUGCUCUCAGUUGUUCCUCUUCACAAUUUUUCACUUCCAAGGAACAGUUUCAUACCUUCUCUGCUAUGUGACUUUACCAGGCUUUAAAGAUGUUCUUAGGCUUGAUGGUGGCCCCUUAAGCACUUAAACAUGCAAAGUGAAUCAGUUUGAGCUCCUCAAAACUCCCCAGUACCUAGACACUUAAGCAAAGUUGGGUCAGAGUUCAAGCUAGUGCUCUGUCUGAUGAGGAUAGGAGUCUGAAUGUGGAUCCCUAAUUCCUUAGGUGAAUGUCCUAGCAAUUAUUCUUCAGAUCACUACAAAAUGGAACAGGUCAAAUAAGCCACAUCAUGCAAAGUAUGUCAGAAAUAUUUGAAAGUCACUGAGAAUACAGUGAGAAUGAUUCUCUUAUCUUGUGUUAAUGGUAGUCACUUGGGAAGGUGGAGUAAACCCUAUUACAUUUUACAUGGCAUGGAAUAAACUUUCUCAGUAAAACAUAGGAACGAAUUGUAUAUUAUGUCAAGAACAAUCCUUUUGCAACCAUUAUUUACAAGUUCCCCUGAAUUUUCUUACCUUUUUUGUUUGAAUUUGCCAAAUGUUUACGUUUUCCAAAAAUGUUUCCUCUUGAGACACAUGGAACAUUUCACAUUGAAGGAAAUAUAGUGGUCUGGGUGGAGAUGGUAUUGAUUGUCAUGUGGAAACUUGGAAAAAUUGUGAAUUUGGUUCAGUUUGAACCAACAUUCUUUUUCAAACGUUUGGCUUGGCCAAACUGAAAAACUAGUUAUCUUCACAGCUCUAAACCCUCCUUUGCAGUUGGACCCUGAUUUUACAAAGAAAAUCAUAGUAUAGUCGCUGGAGCUGUUCAUCUAUGGCACAGUGGCAUGAAAUGGAAGCCCCACUAGAAUGUAGCGGUGUCUGAAGAUUUUAGAAAUGCUGGAGUUCUGAAGAGGGAUUAAAUGAUGGCAUUCACAGUAUGCGUACUACUGGUCUUUACAAAGGCACUACUGUUUUCAUGGAUUCCCUGUCAGUUACUUGCCAAAAAGAUACCUCUGAUGCACGUCUUUAUGGGAAAUAGGAAAAAGAGGAGAGUUCUUGACUUGUUUGCAUUGUUAGCUUGGAACGGAUACAUUCCUUUCUCUAACUUUUUUCAUUUCAUGAUGUAAUGAGAACAUUUUAAACCAGGACAAACAAACAGCAAGUGCCAAGCUUUUUCCUAAAAGCUCCUUAUGAUCAAACAUACCCAUCCAUGCUUUUGAAUACCUCAUAAUUAAACAUGCCUAAAUGGAGACUUAAUUUGAACAUGUAAAUUAAUCACAUGUUAUAACAAUUGAAAUUCAUAACCGAACAUCCAUUAGCAGACAACGCCGUUCCUCAUUCUUUUGUCUGCAUGUUUAUAGUAAUCAUGCAAUAGGAUUUAUGGUGCAUAUCACCCUUUGAAAAUUAAUUCUGAAUCAACAUAGGAGAUGUGUUCCCAUUUCUAUUGUAUAGCUUUGCUCUAAAAAUGCAAAUAAUUGCAAAUUAAGCCCCAGAUGUCUAAAGAGCAGCAGGAGUAACCAUUUAUUUGAUGUAUGAUGCACAACAUGUCAUUUCUGUGUCACUCCUCAAUGGGUUAAAUGAGUUUCAUCGUUUGGAUGUUUUAGGAAAAUAAUAAACAAUGUAGCUCAUUCAAAAAACAGCUGCGUUUUUUUUUCUUUUCUUUAAAAACAAAAACAAAAAAAGAAGAAGACAAAGUUAUUUAAAAUUUGUUUUCAGUUGCCUGCUAAGAAAAUAAGUUUACAUAAAAGAAACCUCAUUUCCUUAUGAAAAAUUGUGAAUUUACCUUCUGAAGCAAUUUAGUAAAAGCCAAAAUUUUUCUGUGCAUUUAGCAACUACUGAAUUGCUGUGGUGGGCUAUAUUAAGUAUAGAUGGAUGAGAAUUAGGUCAGUGGAGAAAACACAAGCUGCACCCUUCAGAGCUAAACCUGCACACACAUUACCUUAAAGAUGCUUACAUAAUGAAUGUCUGUGUUUGCUUGUGUAUUUCAGUGUAUGUUUAUGACAGACCAUGAAGCUAUCCCCAACAGGCAUUUGAGAAAGACAAAUCCCCAGCAUAUUUGCAUGUCCAUUAAACAACAAUAGCACUUCUAUCAAUAAGAAAUGAAUUUAUUUGCUUGACUCCCUUGGGCUCAGAUUUCACUGUAGGGCCCAGUCUUCAAGUGGAGUUUGGUCAGUAUAGGCUCUUCAUUAACUUUACUAGGUGUUAGAUCAGGCCUUGAUAUUCUUCUCCAUCCGCUAGUGUUUACUCAGGUGACAACACUGCAUUUAGUUUUCUCGCCUAUGCAGCAGGAGUUCUUUGCAACUGAAACCCUGUGCUGCCCUUAUGGUUUAAACUCAGCUUUGUGCUCAAUGUCCUGCUUCCUAAUGUGCUACACAGCUGUCCUGUGCUCUUGGCUUCAUGCCAUCUUCAUGUUACUCCUCCCAGUAGGUCAACCGUUUUCACUCUGCUGUUCUGUUAAUGCCUUUUAUAGAACCACCUUUUUAUAGUGCUACUUGCAGGAAAUGCUUUUCCUGCAAUGUGUCUGGAUCAUUUACAGCCUAAAAUGUUACCAUAUGCAGCUUAAGCCUAAAGGACCUUAUCUUGCCCUAGUCUGUAUAGUAGCAUCAUACAGUCAGACAACACAUUGACUUGCGAGGAAUUUUUUUUUUUUUUUUUUUUAAAGAAGGGGCUCUCAUCCUCUUCUACUUAAAUACCUAAAUCUGAUGAGAAACACUUGGAACACAUACAUGAGAACUUGGACUGUUCAGUUAUUAACCUGGAGCCUAGAUAAUGAGGGAGAGCUAUACUGGGACAGAGUACUAAGUGUGAAGACAGGAAAGUGUAAAAAUGCAGCAAAAUGGCUUUGUGAUAAUUAGUGGAAAGGAGGUCACAGCCUGUCUUUCUGUCCAACACAAGCCUCUUAUUUAUUAUUGUGGCAUGACAGCAUAUGGCUCUGAGUUUUUAGUGGACUACUACCAUUUCUCAGUUGUUUUUGCUUUCUCUUUUCUCACAGUAAGAUGUGACUUAAAUUCCUAAACUCAAAACCCCCAAAAAUUCAACCCACAAGCCCCAGUGGUAUUUGAAGUUUAUGUAUUCUUUAACCAAAGGCCUUUGCAUAACCAGAUACUGGUACAUUCUUUAGUGAAAUUCUUGAAGCUUUGGGCUUAACCACUGCUUCUUUCAGUGAGGUGCUUGAAAACACGUCAACUAUGUAGCUGUACUGGAGGGCUGUGUGGAUGAGGUAUGUCCUUUUUCUCAAAUUGACUAAUGUCAAGGUCCAGACUGAGGCAGGUUCUUGGCUUCAGCUUGAACAGUCCCAUGGUGAUGUCAGAAUUUUGGUGUUUAUAUUUAAACAUUUUUUGUUAUUAUCAUUAUUACAGAGAAAAGCUGCAGAUUUGGCAUGCAUUAAUCUCUUAUAGAGGUAUCUGCUGGAGUAAGCAGAGAACUUUGUGAAUUUGUAUAAGUUAUUAAUUCUGAAGUCUUUACAUAGCCUGCAGCAGUGGACUUGGGUGUAGACAGGAGAAAUUCACCAAACUGGGCAAAGAGACUUGGUUUCUGAAAGAACAGAAAGAAACAAUACAGCAACAUCUUUGCUGGAAGGAGAGAUCUAAUAGUGCUUAAAUAGACUUGAGAGAGACAGAAACUCACAAAGGGCUUACAAGGCUGGAAUUAAACAAAACUAAGUGGGAUUCAAAAAUGUACUUAGAACAAAAAAAAAAAAAAAUCCUGAAAAGGAAAAGACAGUCUCCCUUUCCAUGCAAAAUCAAAAAGGAACACUAUUAAAAUGUUCUUAAAGUAUUCAGUUUCUUUUAACAACACUUAGGAUACACUGGGCAGUCCAACAUGAUCCUGUGUGUAUUGGCAAAGCAUAGUAGCCUUUUGGAUACAAAAACUUCAUCUAAGUGUGUUUCAGAUCCAUGUGUGAUAAACUUCAUUUGUUAAAUACGGGAGGUUUAUCUAUUCUUUAAAACACCAGUUGUGUUUCACUUAGUGAACCAAAAUAAUAUAAUGGCAUUAGGCUUCUUGGCUCUUAGCUGACUUCUCCAUUUUUCUCUAAAGUGUGGUGUUAAUGAGUAAUUUCAGUGUAAGGACCCUUUUGCUGAAAUAUUUUUCAAAAACUCUGAUUGCUUUUCUCCUAAAUUCUCUGUGUAAUCUUCAUUGCCUUUCAGUUUACUGUGGGAGACUGGUUGAGAGCACCUUGAAAUAAAAUCCAAGGCUGUGCCUUUUUUCCUCUAUAUUUUCGAUAGGAUUCUUGUUCAGAUAUCAUGAGUGGGAACAUGAUCAAGAAGCAUAGAGCCAGAGUCUAGAGCAAGUUAAUCUGACAGUGCUGUUCUGGGCACUGGUUCCUUCGUGGCCUUAGGCAGAACACGUGACCUUUCCACCUCAGUGUUCUUUUCAUUAAUAUAGGGUGAUGAAAAUAAUUUAAUUCCUAUCAUCUGACACAACAUAUUUGCUAUAGACAGAGGAAAUGGUAUGGAAAUAGCCUUUCUGAGGAUUGUUGAAAAUCAGAGCAUAUCCAUCACAUAUCAUUGAAUUAUUUCAAUUUUAUUUAUUUAUCUAUUUUUAAUGAAGGAACUCAGUUCUUAAUUGAAAAGGCUGAAACAUUUAAAGGUUGAAUUUGUCGUUUGGAGAGUAUUCUGAAUUUCAAGAAAACUACCCCCCCACUGUUUCAUUAUGAGAAAUAUUCUAAAGGCUUUCCAAAAGUUUUGUCUUUAUGCAGAACCACAGUCUGUUUAUUUCUUCAUGCCAAAGAUGAGGUUUGGCAGAGGAUUUAUCCCAUACCCUUGCCAACAGCUCUCCUAAGAGCACACUCAGUUAGUUUAUAUUACUACUUUUGAAAAAGGAAACAUUAAAGAAACUGUAUUUUUAAUACAGUAUAAAGGUCCUCUGAAGGCUGAAAAUGCCUCCCUCUGGCCCCACCUCCCUGCAAAGGGCUAGGGGAAGUGAGGGAAAAAGGAGUCCUACAGUCAAAAGAACUGCCUCUGUGUGAGGCCUGAGAGCUAGGACAGCUUCGCGCUAACCCUCAUUUUCCUGCAGGCUCUGGUUUUCAAAAAUUCUUUCUAAGUCUAGUUGCUUAAGUUGAGACAACCGUGUCUUCAUUUUCAGCAAGUCUGGCACUCUCAACACCUGCUGAUUAUACUGUGACUGUUUAAGGGAAGGAUUUAGAAUGCCUCCUGCCAGUCUCUCAUCCUACUGCAAGUGCACUUGGUAGAUAGAGAGGGGAGGACCCAGUGCCUUGAUCUGUCCAUCUGUCAACUCUUUGACCUUCUGAACACAACUGCAUCCCGUCUGCAGCAUCUCUGAAUGGUCGUGAAGUCUGUAGUUGUUAUGUCCACCUUCCAUUUUCUUGCUCUUAAAGUAGUAUAAGCUCUAGCUGGUGUCUGGAACACUGGCCCUAUCUCACAUACACUGAGUGACAUGACAGCUACAUUGGCUAACUUUUGACUUAAUAUGACAUUGUUCUUCCUGCAUACUGGGGAUAGUGAGACUUGAAGCAUCUUCCUAAAUAUUCAGUGGAAAUAACUGCUGUUGACUACACUGUUUCAUUUCAGCACAGAGGGUCUUUUUAACACUUCUAAAUCUUCAAUUCUGAGAUAAUAUAUAGUCAAAACAUAGAAGGCCACAGAAAUGCCUGAUUCUGUAGCUAUGUUAUGCACAGUGAGAGAGCAUUUCAGGUGAUUGUAAAAAGACUUGUGUAUUGUAAAUGUGGGGAAAAAAUGUAUAUACACAUCCAUCCAUCUGAACUCAGAUGGUAUUUUUAGAAACCAAAUAUAAAUGUCAUAGCCCUCUUCCAGCUGAAUAUUUAUCUUCUCCAGAAGUUAUCAUGUAAGUCCAUUUGUUAUCUUUAGUCAUGGGUCAAUUGUGCAUGUGCUAGGGCUGGUCAGCUAUCAAAGAGAAAGCUAAAGCAUGGAAAGUGCUAAUUUUCAUCUGAGUUCCCAAAACUAAAAUGGUAGCAUUUGAUUUUCAAAAUUUUCUUUUCUUUUCUUUAUUAAACUGCCACAUCCAGAAUUUCCUGUUCAACCACAAUACUUUUUCCUCCUAGGGGCCAAAUCAAAGAAUUUCUUUUAGGUAGCUAAAAUGUUACCAAAAUGUUAGGGAUCUUCAUGCAAAAUCUGCAGAAUCUGGUACGUGCUAAUAUGUUGUAAUAAGAUUUGAGUAACCAGUGUUGCAUUGUUAAGAUCCUUCUUUUCUUCUGUAAGUGUAUCUGUCUUAGAGAUCUGUCAGAGUUGCACCAGUGUGGGCCAAGCUACAUGGUUGGGGACCUUAAGGCUCUGCAGAGAGAGUUAUCAUUUGAGAUUCAAAGCAUUUCUAUGAUGAUAUGAAAAUAAAACUAUGCUACAAGUUCUUCAAGUAUUCCACAAGGGAGUUUUUUUAUAAUCUGCAAUUAUUUUUCAUACUGGUAGAAUAAACAUGGAAAGCUUCAGUAUGUAGAUCCUCCUGUAACUGGUCACUACUUUGCACUGAUACUCACAUGGCAAUCCUUGAAGAACUUGAUCCCUUUUUAUGCUGUAAAUAGAUAUUUUGUUUAGUUAACCUACUGAAAGAUCUGAAAGGGAAUCAAUAUGUUCUGUAAACUCAAGAGAAGGGAUUGUUUGAAUUUCUCGCUUCCUUCACAUUACAGAGCAAAAGUUUCAAUCUGUCACAUCUGCAUCAAGCCCAAAUCCUUUUAAGUUUCAUUGAAGUGUUACCUGCAAAUGUAAACUUGUAAGCACAAUCUCUUUUCCACUCUUUAUUUGGAAAACUGUGAUUCCCUGAGCUUGGAAUGAAUAAAGUCCCAUAUUGAAAAAGGUCUCAUUUCCUAUGAUAUUGGUCUACUUUUCUAACAAGGCUCAAGCUCCAAUUGGAGCUUUUCCAGUGGCUAGGAAAUUUCUAACUGUUCAGUACUGUGGAUUCCCUGAAAGCCUAGUAGCAUAUGUUUACACUGAAGCCUUUCCUUAUUAGAAGCAGUAUUAAGGUCAUUCUAUAUAUCAAUACAACUAUUUUCCUGCCUCCUGCUUGUAAUAUAAUUAUGUUUGAGGUGCCUGCUUUUAUCAGAUAUGGUUGAAAUUUGUGAUUGUGUCAAAAGUUAUUGAAGAGAUAGUAGGCAUAUGAUGAGUCAUGCAGACAAAACUCAACUGUAAGAUUUGUUUCCCUGGGAUAUCUGGCACCUGUAUUGCCAGAGAUAUCUGAACCUUUGUGGAUUUUCAUUGUCCUAUUUCUACUGUUUCUUAGAGAAGGAGAGAUAGGAGAGUUUCAUUGGAUGUAAAACAGCAUUCCCAUAGGAUAUCGGUUAUGACCAAUGGAAUAAAUUUCAUGCUGAUGUUUUGCCCAUUUCUGGGAUUGUUUUUCAUCGUGGUGGUCCUUGAAAAAUAUAUUUAUACAUACAACUGUCCUGCUGGACUGGAAAUAAGAGUAAAUUGUUUCAUUUUUGUCAUGUUUCCAAGGUCCUUUGUCAUGUCAACGGCCAAUAGGCAGGAUACAAGUGAGAUAUCAAGGCUCUUCUUACCUUCAUUUCUGUGUCUGUUUGCUGUAUUUAAAGAUGCUCCUUGAUUUUAUUACAAUAAUACUUUUCAUUUAUAAAUUUGGACCUCCUCUGAUGUGAGCCCCAAGCAUUUCCAUUUCUAAGUGCAAAAAAGUUAAUCCCUGUGUAAUUAAAAGUGGUGCCAGUUUCUAACCACACUGCCUUACCUACCCUAGUCCUUUGGAAAUGUUUUACGUGCAACAACUUUAUAUACUAAACAAGUUUGUUUAAUAAAAAUGUUGUUACGAUAACUAUAAACAACAUAUUUUUGACAUGACUAAUGUUUUCAUGAAGUUGCUUUCAUUUUCACAGGUCACUGCUUCCUUUUCCAGCCUCACAAACAGUUUUCUCAAUCAUCUGGGUGCCUCAGCGCUUGGAUCUGUGUCCUAUGAUUUGAUCUUCUUUUCAGAGUGUUCUCUCAUUUGUCUCUGUCCAUGUGUUGUUUUUCUGACACUUCUUUUUUUCUAGUGGCACUUUAUAACAAAUUUUCUCUAUGAUGAACUGUUAAAAGAAGUGAGAUAUCCAGAAAUAAACUGGAAAAAAAAAAAAAAAAAAAAGAAGCAACUGACCAAUAAUCUGCAUAGAAAGUAAGUAAGUAUUCUUAUGUAAUAUGUGUGUACGUGUUGCCAUCUUAUAAAAUUACAUUAAUGUUUUUCUGUACAACAUAGGGCACAUUUUGUAAAUGAGCUUAAACAGUAUCAAAUUGUAAUUAUUCAUGAAUAGUCUCUCUUUUAUUGUUAAUUAUAUGCAUCAUGCUAAGCGAGUCUGAUAUACUGAUUAUGAGAAUUAAGUUCAUCUGAGGUAACAGAGUUUAUUCCUUUCUCAGCCAUCCAGCCUGGAUCUCAGCUGCAAAGUGCAACUUUCUUAGCUGUGAGAGACACUACCAAGGUGGCUCUCCACAAAAAAUCAUGAUGAACAUCUCCAGAGGUUGAAGAACUCUUCUGAGGAUCUACCUUUGCUCUAGUGAGUUGCAUUUCCCUGAAUGAUGCAAGAAGUAAACAUGAGAGGCUCUCUGCUUGGACAUGAGUAGAACUCUUUUCUAGGCUGAAGAACCUCAACACUCUCAGCCUGUCUUCAUUGAAGUACUCCAGCCCCCUUCUAGACCAACUGUAACAGGACCUAGUUGUAGGACUUUGUACUUGACUUUGUUAACAAACUUCAUGAGGUUUGCAUGAGCUAAACACCUCCUAAGGCUGUCCGGGUCCCUCCGAAUGGCAUCCCCUCCCCCCACUGUGUUGGUUGCACCACUCGGUGUCAUCUGCAGACUUGUUUAGGGUGGAGAACUAAGGGGUGAAGAGGAUGAGUGGCCUUUAAAAUGUCGUCUUGUGGUCAUCAAAGUGGCAAAAGGCAAUCUCGUAAACCUUCUAAUGUUGGAGGCUGAUGGCCAGGUCAAUGACCAUACAGAACAAUGGUGGCAACCUCAAACGUGGUUAGGAGGGUUAUUACUGAAAACUGAAUCUCGACAUGAGCCUAAGAAAUAAGUGCUAACUGACUCUAAAAACUAGAGGACAACUCUGUGAAUACCACCGCAAAUACCACUGGCAAGAGACACGUCUCCAAGCUGUCUUCAGACUCCAGAGUAAAUAAAUAAAAUAUUUCAGAGAGAAGAGGCCUGUAUACGUUGGCAGCAUUGCUUGACUUUGUGUGUAAAACCAAGCACGAUUUGAACUUCCACUAGGUAGACACCAACACAAGAAACUCAUUUAAACUGGUCAAAUUCUAACAAACAUUUUCUGUGAAGUUUUGGUGAGCUGGAGUUUGCCAGAAGUUUUUCCAGGAAUUAACAACCUCCAAAGACUGCAAACACUUUUUCUUCUGAACAUCUCUGCCCAGAAUCUUUCUCCAAAACUCAUAAAGCAAGAACUUGAGAAAACCUGCUUGAAAAGCAGUCUGCUUUGUAAAAAUAUAGUAGGAUCUCACUAGACUUUGAAGCAAGGGAGAACCAAAAUAAAGGCAGUGAAGACAUUACCCUCACUGUGUUUCCAAAUACUAUUGGAGAAAAUGCAAAAGCUUUAAGCAUAAUACUAGGGGUUGGUCGUUUAUCUAUUCACCUUCUUCUACUUCAAACCUACUGAUUUCUCUGCAUGAAAGUCAUAAGCUGAUCUUAGCUCAUCUCUGAUUAAGGAUGGUCCUUUGGUCCUCUUGGAUAGUCCUCUUCAUAUUCCAUGUCCCCACAGUUAGUCCUUGGUAAUCAAGCCUUGGCUUAUACACAUGCCAAUCCACCCCCAAAAAGCAAACAAAUAUAACAACUACAUUGAGAAUGAGAUAAUGUUACUCUGUGAUCACAGUUAUUGUGUUACCUUACACUUUCAGUGGGUCAGUUAUCUCUCUGGAGUAGUUAAAAAUGUUCUGUUGGCCCAUUGACUCGGUGGUAUAUUUGCUCGCUUCUAGCAAGCCUAAUGGACUAAUAUCAGUGGACAUUUAUUCUUGGAAGAGAUACACUUGCCAAGAUUUUAGGUCUUUGGCGAAAAUCAGCUCUGUACAGGAGUUAGGGUUUGUUAGAGUUGUUGUUUGUUUGUUUGUUUAACAUGAGAAGAAAUAAACAUUAUUUUUAACUUUGAAGAGACUUUAACUUCAGACACUGCCUGUGCACAGCCCCAGAGAGGACAAGGGCCAUGAGAAAUGUGAUGACAUUUGGUUGCAUAAUUUUGAAUUGAAUGAGAUUUACAUAUGUUUUUAGUACAAACAAAGCAAGAAACAAGCAUUCUUGGAGGAUACUCUUUUAGCAAAUGUUCAAAAAUUUGGUGAGCACAGCUACAUUACAUCUAAAGUCAAAAAUCUUAAGAGGCAAGUAUGUAAGAUAAGAUGAUCAUUUCCAUCUAUACAGUUAUUCAUGUUCUCUUGUCUUUUAGGACCAUAUAGCUUAACUAUAAUCUCUCAACACUUGAACUUUGAGCUACUUUGAUCAUACUUACUUUCACAGGGCAUACUGAAGAGUGGUUAAUUCUGUGGUACGUGAAAUUUGCACAAUACUUCUUUUUUCUUAAUGGAACACAUUUUUAGUAUUUUGCAAGCAAUCCACAAGUUAUUACUUCACGUUUGGUUUUAAAAUACAGUUUGGAAAAUCAAAACAAGUUUUGACUACACAUUAAUCAUACAGAGAAAAAAAUUCAAUACAAAAUAAAUUAAAGUAGCUUCCCAGGGGAAAUGUUUAAUCAGUUUCAAGUGUUUUUAAGAAGAAUGAGAAAUGAUGAAAAGCCUUUUACAGAAAGUGUUAAAUCAGUUAAUAAAUUUUUUGACUGCAUCUGCAUAAAUAGUUAUAGAUAAUUUAAACCAGCUUUCAAAGUAGUACAGUAAGAUAGGCUUUGGCAUAGAGUAGAAUAUGGCAUGAACAGAAAGAAGGUUCUGUUUUUACUUCCUUUCUUUCCUUCUUUUCCUGUUGCACAUAAAUAUUUGUAUCUCACUUUGAUCUAUCAUCAAAUCAUGUAUGACAGAAGUCUUGACCUGUUGGUUACCAACAACUAUUUGAUAUUGGUUAUGGCCACAGGAAAAUCAAAAGUAAAAUCUAGUAAAUAAAUUAUAAUUGCCAAAAAAAGAAAGAGUGUGCCUUCAUUAUAUUUUUCUUGUUACUGUUAUCCCUGUUCUGCCUUCUAAUUGGAAUCACAGAGUCUCCUUGCUUAGAAGAGGUUCCCAAUUAUAACCAGCACACAGGCAUACUGGCCACUUCCGAAUGUGAUUUUUGUUGCAUUAACCUUAAGCUCAGGCCUAAACGCUGUCCUUCUUAGGAAAGAAUAAAAUUCCUGGAUCAGUUCUGUAUGUAGAAAUCUUCAUAUCUUCUGGACUCUAGAUCUUGCAGUUACAAUGCCUUCAGGCAUAACCUUGCCUUCAGCUAGAUGCCUGAGUUCAUUACAACUCAUAGGCUGUCCAUCAGUCCAUAUGUUACUGAAUACUAUGUCUCAGUUUAUAAAUUUCCUUGUACAGGGUCAGCCUUUGUUGUUACUGAAUUAUACUGUGUCAAGUACAGUGUGGCUUCAACCCCUUUGAGUUGUUUUAUUGGUCUAAGAACUUUAUCUCUGCUGUCAUGUAACAGUGGCUCCAAUCUAAUACUGUGGAUCAGACAAUCUAAAAGAGGAGAUGCAACACUCAUGGACAUUUCCGAAGCACAGAAUGCUAGAGUCACUUAAUGCUAGAGUUACUUCCUUGAGUUACUUCCUGUGUUCUGCACCAAAACUCACUUGAUAGAUGAUAAGGAAAAAAUACAAAUUCCAAAAUAAAUUAGUCCAAAUACCCAGGAAACUUGGUAUCCCUUUGUUCCUACAUCAUCUCUACCCACAAUUCUAUUCUGUUCUAUACCAGAUUACAAGUCAAAGCUCAUCAUUACCUUCUUUUUCUCAUGAACAGAGUAACAUAAUCUUCAGUCGAGACUUUUUUCCAUAUUCCUUCAUUUCCAUGACCUACUUAUGAAAGUAAUCCUCAAUUUCUUGGAGACUGCAAUUCUCACUAAAUUCUAAUUAAUGAAAGACUGCUGAAAGCCAGCCACAGAAAUCAUCUGUUAGAAGACUUUGUACAUGCUAGAUUUGUAAGGGUCCAUAUAUGCAUCUACAGCACCUUGUCUGUGACAGUGGUAGUGAAAAUGUCUUUCAUUUCUCUUCAUCAGUGCAUUUUAUUUAAAUGCUUAGUUUCUAUCAUUUAGUCCCAAUGUUGAAGUUUCUAAAUAAUUAUCAGAAAAAAAUAACUGUCAAAAACAAAACAUUGAAAUUAUAUCUAAAGGUUGGUACAGAUGCCAGCAAAUAUCUUCUAAAUGGAAUUUAGGAUAUGGUAUGCCCUCAGAUGUAAGAAAUUACAAGACCAACUUGACUAAUUGAACCAAAAAAAUUUCCAUCAAACAACUUUGUACCAGGUAUCUAAGCUAUCUCAGGGAGUCAUGAAAGUGAUGGGCAAGGCUUGAUCAGUAUCUGUUCUGGGGAACUUAGCCUCAGAACACAUCACCUUGGCCAUAUAUUUCAUCACCUUGUUGAUCAAAGAAAAGCAUUCACUUAUUUGACAUAUCUUUCCCACAAGAAGUGCAAUCUACAGAAAAGCAACACAAAUCCUUAACUAAAUAGCCACAAGCAAAAGAUAAAACAAAACCCUCAACAUUUUGUUUCACCUGAAAUCUCUUUUCUUUACUUCUUUAUUGUCUAUGUCUCCCUUUGACAAUAUACCCUUUUUGUCUCUUUGUCUCUCUCUCCUAUAUUAUGUUUAGGUUGAUUUUAUUCCAUCCAUUGGUCUCACCUGGAAUUUUUGUAGAGAUUUACAUGGGAUUUUCAUAGUCAAUUGCAUAGUAUGAUAGGGUUUAAUGGCCAGUGAACCAUUGUGCUGUAUCUCCCAAGUCUCUGAAGAGUUAAAAGCUCUGGCAUUGACUGUAGCACAAAGGGAAGGCUAGCCACGGAUUCCAGCAUUGCUUUUUAUUAUGUUGCAGCUGUACUGCACUCAAUUCUACUUGGAAAACUUCCUGAACGAGAAUCUAUUUCCCUCACUUCACUUUUGGAAUAUGUACUGUUUUGGUUUUUGGCUCAUCUUUGAAGCAAUGUUCUUUUUGUCAGUAUUGAAGGAAUGAAGGGUAUAUUUAAAGAAUAAACUGUUGGGAUGUGUUUGGUGAUUUUGAUUUAGGAUGUAGGAAUAAGGUUCUCAAGGGAUGGAAAACUUGAACUCUAAAAAUAAUGACCAUCUAAAUUUUGGUGGAGGUAUUAUUAUUGCAUUGACUCAUAUGGUCUCUACUUGGUUACAUUUCUACUUAGGAAUGGGGCAUUCAUUUACAAUGCAACAAUAUUUAUAGUAGUUACAAGCCAUAAGCACUUUCUUCCAGUGGUUAUUUAAAUAAUGUUAAUAAAAUUCAUAUAUAGCACAAUGUAUUAACUCUCAUGCCUAGAAAACACAUUAGCCAGAAUUUAACUUAAUACAGUUCUUAAAGAUAGAUACGAAGUCACUUGUGCAAUUUUUAGGUGGGUGUAAAUUCUGAAUAAAUUUUGUGUAUGUGUAGGUCACCUUUCUCUGCAUUGAAGGUUUUCCAAAAGACAACUCUUGAUUGCUGUCUCCUCUGUGGAACCUUAACAGAGCUAAACCUGAAGAAAUACAAUGCAGUUUCUCCAUAGAAAAACUAUAGUGUACUUGUCCCACUGAAUCCCAACUGUAUUAGCUCCUCAGACUCAGGAAUUGCACUACAGUGGGGUUGGGAUUUGAAUGUAAAUAUUUUCUUUGUAAAAAUAGCAACCUGGAGAGAAAUCAGCAACCCAACUCAGUUAUAGGCUAACAUUACCAAUUUAUUCACUGCCUACAGGCAUUUAUACAUAUGUAAUGGUUUGCUUCACUGCAGUGUAAAGGUAAUCCAUAAAGCAGAACAGAAUUUUUCAAAGAAGUUGGCCAAGUUCUGCCAUUUAUUUGUAUUGUGGGCUACAAUUAUGAAGUUGGAAAGUAAAUUUUUCAACAUAAUCUGAAAAGAAAGUUGUCCCUAACGUAGGAAAAUCCAAGAAAACAAAGCUCAUUCUUCAUCAGGAUAAAGUAAGGAUCAAUCUUGACCAUAAGGGGGAAAGAUGUUCCAGAUUUCAUUAGAAAGUGUCAGCUUUCACAAUUAGGGAAUUUUUUUUGACUGAUACCAGCUGAGUUCUGUAGCAGACAGUGAGAAUCUCUGUGGUUGGAGAAAAGGAAUCAGACUUUUCAUGAUAUGUUAUAGGAUUUUCAUGUCUGUGCCUUAGAACUAGGAGUAGAUAUUGACCAGUGACAUUCACUCGUAUGUGUUUUAAAAGUAAACUUUCAGCUUUCACCUUGUACUGAGUCAAAUGACAACUCACAGCCAUUGUAACACCUGGACAAAUUAUGAUAAGCUCUCUACAGUGAGCUACACAAUGUCAAUCUCUUAACCGCAUGUAUUUAAAAUGAGGUAUUUUGGUUUGCAAGCACAGUUGCAAAGUUUCCAAAAUAAAUCCAUUUUCUUCCCUUUCUCUACUUAAGCCAUUAAUUUGUAUUCUCUUCACUUAAUUAUGUUGUUGCUUUUCCAGGAAAACAGAACAUUUAAU